GACUCUCCUCACCUUGCACUAUAUGUUUGACAAAGCUCUCAGGAUGGACGUUAGGACAAGCUCCAACUCAGAGGAGAGCAGCAGGCUGUCCAAGCCUGGACUCAAGGAGGGCAAGGAGGCAAGGGACCCCCAGGGGAAUAUUUCCAGUACUUACCUGAAGGAGCAGCAAAGCGGGUACACAGCUCCAGCCUCCUCUGAGGGGUGUCCCAAAAGUAAGGGAGCCCCAGCAGAC